ACUCAAAUGAAUAGACGGGGGCCCGCACAAGCGGUGGAGCAUGGGGUUUAAUUCGUCACUAACCGAAGAACCUUACCCAGACUUGACAUCCUCGGACCGCCGGUGAAAGCCGGUUUUCCCGCAAGGGACCGAGAGACAGGUGUUGCAUGGCUGUCGUCAGCUCGUGUCGUGAGAUGUUGGGUUAAGUCCCGCAACGAGCGCAACCCUCACUGUAUGUUGCCAGCGUGAAAGCGCGCACUCAUGCGGAACUGCCGGGGUAACCCGGAGGAAGGCGGGGAUGACGUCAAGUCGGCAUGGCCCUUACGUCUGGGGCUACACCCAUGCUACAAUGGAUCGGACAGAGGGCUGCAAGACCGCGAGGUGGAGCCAAUCCCAAAAACCGGUCCUCAAUUGGAAUUGGAGUCUGCAACUCGACUCCAUGAACGUGGAAUCGCUAGUAAACGCCGGUCAGCUAAACGGCGUUGAAUCCGUUCCCGGGCCUUGUACACACCGCCCGU
rnacentral:rRNA from 1 species